GAUGAACGCUAGCUACAGGCUUAACACAUGCAAGUCGAGGGGUAGCAGGGUAGCAAUACCGCUGACGACCGGCGCACGGGUGAGUAACACGUAUCCAACCUUCCCAUAACUCGGGGAUAGCCUUUCGAAAGAAAGAUUAAUACCCGAUAGUACUUUUUCAAGGCAUCUUGAGAAAGUUAAAGAUUUAUUGGUUAUGGAUGGGGAUGCGUUCCAUUAGAUAGUUGGUGAGGUAACGGCUCACCAAGUCUUCGAUGGAUAGGGGUUCUGAGAGGAAGGUCCCCCACAUUGGUACUGAGACACGGGCCAAACUCCUACGGGAGGCAGCAGUGAGGAAUAUUGGUCAAUGGGCGAGAGCCUGAACCAGCCAAGUAGCGUGAAGGAUGAAGGUCCUAUGGAUUGUAAACUUCUUUUAUAGUAGAAUAAAGUGAUCCACGUGUGGAUUUUUGUAUGUAUACUAUGAAUAAGGAUCGGCUAACUCCGUGCCAGCAGCCGCGGUAAAAC
rnacentral:rRNA from 1 species